AAGUGUAAGGCUUUUUACCUGUAUGGAUAAAACUGUAUCACAAGAUUUUCUUUCUCUGAGAAAUGUGUAUUGCAUACUUCACAUUAGUAAAUCUUCACUUGUGUAUGAGUGCGAUAAUUUUUCUUCAAAUCAUCAUUCCUUGAAAAGUUCUUGUUGCAAACAUCACAUUUGUACUGUUUCAUUUCCAUGUGUGUUGUACGAUGCGCUGCGUGAGAACUUUGCAUUACACACAUUGCAUUCAAAGGCUUCUCACCAGUGUGCAUACGGUAAUGAUUUUUGAGAGGUUUGUACCACUGGUGUUACCGAUCAGGCAUUCGCGUUUAGUGGGCUUUGGCUGUGACGUCACAACAUGGUGGAUAAGUUAGAAUUAAUAUAUGUAUUUGCAGAUAAGGUAAAGUGAUAUAUAAUUGUGCUUGCAUUUCAGAUUUAUAUGCAAAAUACAAUUGUACUUAUUGUCAGGAUGAUAUUACAGGACUUAGGAUUAAAUGUGCAGUGUGUGCAGAUAUCGACGUAUGUCUGCAAGUAGGCCAUGCUCGCAGUGGGCAAGAAUGGUUUUAAUUGGAGAGAGGGGCGGAGACCUCAAAACUGUUUUCAUGUGCUGUUGGUGGUGCUGUGGUAUGUUGGAAAGCUUGAGGUCUGCGGCAUAUCGUAAUUCAUAUACAUGAGAAAAAUGGUCACAAAACACUUCAUAAUCACAUGUCUAUUCAUGGUGGUCUUCUGGGCUGUGACAGUGUGAACGUGUAGGCAGUCACCAGUGUUUUGGAGAAACAUACUGUCUCCAAAUGUGCUUAUUUAUAUUUUAGUGGUUCUGUUAUAUAUGCAUUAAAUAACUAGUAAUUUAGUUUAAUCAAGCAAUGCAUAUUGUGAUCGGCCACCCAGCCAAUGUUGCCAUCUGAUCUACAACGUGAGACAUUCAGUCAUGUGUUUGGAAGGUACGAACACAAGUUCUCUGGAGCAACUUGUAUUGGACCGCAGGAUGAAAGGUUGGCAUGAUGUUAAUAUGCUCAGGCAGUCACCAAUCCUGUCAGCUGGUGAAAAGUCGAGGUAACUGUGAUGAAACCAGAACAUGUUGCCUUCUCCUUCCCCUCCGCCACUUGAGGUGAUGACAUUGAACAUGAACAUGUGCACAGUGCUCCAUCCUACGAGUGGUCACGAUUGGUUGCCUGGUUCAUAAUGGCUUCCAUGUGGACAGAGCACCUCCUCAUCCUCCAUUCCAGCAGCACUUCUGUGGUUCUGCAUGUGAAAGAAGAUGAAAACGUCGAUGUGACAACUGAUGAAGUGAAACGAUUUUAUUAUGGUUCAUCUCGGUCACUUCUACAAAUCAUCUCGUGCACCAUGUAGCAUACUGCUUAUAUUGUUCGACUCCUGUGCCUCUUGCUUUGCAGAUCACAAACGUAGCAGGAGCUGCCAAGUCCUGGGCCGGAAGAUGGGAUCCUUCCGACAGAAAUCAUUAACUUAGUCGAAAGUCGGUGUGAGGUCAAGAAGUCGAUGAAGAAUCCUGACCUUUGCCCAGAUGUGAAAAUGCAGGUGAGAAUUAACAGUUACUCAGUGUUAAUAAUUUUACUUUUCUGUCAUCAUAGAUGGAGCAUCAGCAAAAAAUUCUCUCUGUAAUGUAAAACAGAAAAAACCUUACUAAUA